rnacentral:lncRNA from 1 species
UCUUAUUCAACGCCAAUCGCAACUUAUUUUGUGUGACAAAAGCCCUCUCCCAGAUCUCUCCCACAUUCACAAAAGGUCUCCUCUCUUUUUUCUUACAUGGAAGGUGGUUUGGAUCAAAUCUAAAAGGAAUAAGUUUGGAUUUCGAAUUCUAUGAGAUAGAGUUUUAGAAAUCCAAAACUCUUUCAAUUUUGCACCGAAUUUAUCCAAAUUUUUUUUAGAAUUUUCGUGGCUUUUAGGGUAUACAUUAUGCACCCUUUUCUUAUGAUCCAUGCACGAAAAUAUGGAGGAGGUGCUCAAGAGUUGGGCGUCCCUUAACUUGCCAUGUUUGGAUAAGCCUUGACUAGGUGUUUGACCUAGACAAGGACUCUAUCAUAUCUCUCUAUAUAAGAUGAGUUUCUUUGUGAAAUUUUAGGGGGAGAUAGAUAUUUGAGAGUCCUUUCU